rnacentral:rRNA from 1 species
UACGUAGGUGGCAAGCGUUAUCCGGAAUUAUUGGGCGUAAAGCGCGCGCAGGCGGUCGAUCAAGUCGAGUGUGAAAGCCCCCGGCUCAACUGGGGAGGGUCAUUCGAUACUGAUCGACUCGAAGGCAGGAGAGGGUAGUGGAAUUCCCGGUGUAGUGGUGAAAUGCGUAGAUAUCGGGAGGAACACCAGUGGCGAAGGCGACUACCUGGCCUGUUCUUGACGCUGAGGCGCGAAAGCUAGGGGAGCAAACGGG